UGCUAGACAGGCCUCCCCCGAGUGGCACUGAGGUGGCCACUACUGCGUCGAAGCCACUAGUGCCUCCUGGUGGGGGGGUGGGGACUAUGGUGUUAGUGGGCAGAGGAGGGACCAAGCAAACUAUUCUACGUCACCGCCGAGUGGCUUAAAACUACCCACAUGCUGUCCUGAAGACCACCCAUCAACCCGGACUCUAGAGGAAGCCGUCCAAGCGAAUCAAGAACGAGUUCCGGGGGGCAGCAUGAGCCAAUGCAAGAUGGCGCCACUAUAAACGCUCGCCUGCGCCAGAACGGGCUGGGCCGACCAUCAGGCCCCACCUGGAAGAAGCCUUGGGCUGACCAUCAGGCCCCACCAGGAAGAUGCCUACCGGCGCAAUAGGCAACAACGUAAAAAAAAAAUAAA